CAGUCGCCGCGGUAAUACGAAGGGGGCUAGCGUUGUUCGGAAUCACUGGGCGUAAAGGGUGCGUAGGCGGCUUUUUAAGUCGGAUGUGAAAUCCCUGAGCUUAACUUAGGAAUUGCAUUCGAUACUGGGAAGCUAGAGUAUGGGAGAGGAUGGUAGAAUUCCAGGUGUAGCGGUGAAAUGCGUAGAGAUCUGGAGGAAUACCGAUGGCGAAGGCAGCCAUCUGGCCUAAUACUGACGCUGAGGUACGAAAGCAUGGGGAGCAAACAGGAUUAGAUACCCCAGUAGUCCCUGUCUCUUAUAU
rnacentral:rRNA from 1 species